AAAAAAAUUGAGGUACUAGAUGUGCUCAUCAACUUGACUGUAUUUUGUUUCACAGUGUACAUGCGUAUCAAAUCAUUACAUUGUAUACAUUAAAUAUAUAGUUAUACCAUUUUUAUUUAUCAGAAAAAUCCAUGUCACACAAACACAGAUGUACAGUAAGUACUCAAUGUUCAAAAUAGGUUCUUGAAAACUGCGUCUUUAAAUAAAACAAUGUCGGUAUAUGACAUUCAAACAUAACCUUGUUUCUAUCAAUUCAACUAUAGUAAUUCUGCCUCUGGGUUUAAGCGAUUCUCC
rnacentral:lncRNA from 1 species